UAUGGAUGUCCCUUUUCCAGAGUCCAUCAUCUGUGCUCUUGCUGUUGUGAAACGUGUCUAUCUUGGAGGCUGAGGAGAAAUUCCUUCGAGGACCUGUCAUUGACGCAAGUGAGUGGGAUCACUUUGACAGCAAGA